rnacentral:tRNA from 1 species
UCCCUGGUGGCUUAGUUGGUAAAGCGUCUGCCUACGAUGCAGGAGACCCCGGUUCGAACCUGGGUGGGGAA